rnacentral:rRNA from 1 species
UACGAAGGGGGCUAGCGUUGUUCGGAAUUACUGGGCGUAAAGGGCGCGUAGGCGGUGUGUCAAGUCAGGCGUGAAAGCCCUGGGCUCAACCUGGGAACUGCAUUGGAAACUGGCUUACUAGAGUGCGGUAGAGGGGUGUGGAAUUCCGCGUGUAGCAGUGAAAUGCGUAGAGAUGCGGAGGAACACCGAUGGCGAAGGCAGCCCCCUGGGCUAGCACUGACGCUCAGGCACGAAAGCGUGGGGAGCAAACAGG